UACGUAGGGCGCAAGCGUUGUCCGGAAUUAUUGGGCGUAAAGAGCUCGUAGGCGGCUUGUCGCGUCGUUCGUGAAAACCUGCAGCUCAACUGCAGGCUUGCGGUCGAUACGGGCAGGCUGGAGUUCGGUAGGGGAGACUGGAAUUCCUGGUGUGAGCGGUGAAAUGACGCAGAUAUCAGGAGGAACACCGGUGGCGAAGGCGGGUCUCUGGGCCGGUACUGACGCUGAGACGCGAAAGCGUGGGGAGCGAACAGG
rnacentral:rRNA from 1 species